GGGUUCUACGUGUGUUUCCGGCUUGCUUUGACAGUGAUAAUGUUCAUACGGGGGUCUGAUUGGCUUGGGAUAUUGGAAUGGUCAACUAAAUCAUACCUGAUGGACGGCCACACGUUUACUUAAGGGCCUCCAGUAGACAUGAAGAGCCCUGAGCGGCGCUCCAGAGCGAUAUCAACACACUGGGCAGGAAGGAGAGUAUCCAACUCAAGUGUAAAAGGAUGUAAGCGGCGUGUUCAGAUCAGUGACUUCAAACUAGGACUACACCAAUCAGGAUCAAUGGAGGAUGGACACCAAAAGGAAUUCCACAAGGAGUCUGACGUUGGAAAGGGACCUAAAUGGAUAUUCAAGAUGACCUUCAGACCUGUAAUGAGACGGCUCUUCCUACCUGGCUGGAUUGAUGGAGAGCCCUGUGGAUCUUGUCUUGCUCUCAGUUGCACGUCUUCUCAGGCUGAACUGUAUUUGUUUCGGACAGGACUAGCUGAACGAUUGGUUCCCUUAAAUCAGAACCAAUCCGGGAACUCCAGCUAGUGCGCUCUUCGAGCUGAAGUUGAGUUCUUCAGCUGAGGAGGUAAGGAAACCUUCGCUGGGGCUUCAAGGUGUAAAGAGGAGAAUGUUUCAAAGUGUUCCAUGGUACUCUGAUGAAGACCGUUGUUGUGUUCCACUGGCUGAGAGGAAGAACCCACACAUCUUCCUCUUGGCCUUUCUCCUGAGAAUCCUGGCGCCAUCUUGUAGGAUAUUCCAGCUCAUGUAACUGAUGUCACGACAGAUUCUCAAACACUUGGUUUCUCCUGAGGGGCGUGUCUAUAGAACUGAAGACUUCAGACAGCACUGUAUCCCAGUAUGCAUCUCUGCUCACUCAGACCACACCCCCAUGAGUAGGAUGCAACACUCUAGUAAUGGCGAUGUAGAGUUUUAUAAGUAACGAGGGAGCAGACUAAGGGGAUUAGAACACAAUGGAAUGUCAAGUCUGUAAAUCUUUAAACCAUGAAGAUGGUAGGAUAGUUCAGGAAUCAGGCUUCUUUUUAUUAUGGGCAGUCCUUUCACUCAGAUGCCCACUUCUCACUGGAGCUGUAUAUGUGUUGGCUGGCUGGCAUGAUUUGCUGUUGGUGAUGAGGCGGUCAGGGUGACGUUGCAGGGCUAUGGUCGGCUCUCUGUGAGCUCAACGUUUAGAUUUGCUCUGUAUGGUUUGUACCCUGAAUAAUCUAGAUAAUUGUAAAAUGUAGACACGGUUUUGUAUUGAAUGACUCCAGGAUUUUAGGUUUAAAGUUGUUGUGGGACAUACAUGGUAGUUUGGUUCUUCGUAUGGUUUUGAGUGAUAUAACUUGUACACACUGGGUGCAUAAUAAUGUAAAGGUACACUGAAUAGUAGUAUUAACCAACAGCAACAAACAGAUCUCCUCAAGGUAAGUCUGUUGGCUGUAUUUUAAUGAAGACCAUCGCUGGACUUCAGGAUCUUCCUCCGUUCAGCUCAAGGUGAGGCGCUGGUUAAGUUUUUUCUUUGGUUGGUUCCGGCUGGAAUGUUCGGAUUCCAGUCGGACGGCUUGUGCUUCCCGCCGUGGAAGGUUCUGAGUGCGGUCACUUGAUUUAGUCCCAAUGGUUAGCAUAGAACAAUGUAGUUUUGACAACCAUAAGAAACCACCUGGCAGUUAGUUGGACAUGAGUCCCCUGAGGGAAUCUGGCGAAUUCUGGAUUGUAUUUGCGUAACCUCGAGCCGUUGCCAACGGAAACUAUUUUUCAGUCGGUUUCUAUUGGGAAUUGUUGCCCCUAUCUUAAACAACUUAAGUUUAAUAUUAAAUACAUACUGAGAUGUACGUCGUACAAUAUGUUGAUAAUUUCCGAUGGUUGCGCCGUACUUUUAACCACGAUGACGUGACGGGACUCUCACUGCGUACAAAACAGCGUUCUACUUGCGGGCCCAUUUUUGACAUCGGGGAAGGCUGAAAAUCAUUCCAAGGUGGAAGAUGAUUUUGACAUUUCUUCAACGGAACCCAGCACCUGAAUAUGGCUGAGUGUCUGCCUCCUCACCUAAAGCAAGACCUCCACCUCCUCACCCAGAGCCAGACCUCCACCUCCUGUCAGAAGUCCUCCAGAACAGCUGAAAGGCGAGGCUGAGGACCGGAGGCUUGUGGUGCCAGGGUGGACCGGAGACUGAGGCUGGAGACCAGGGGCCUGCAGCACCGGACCAGAGGGUGAUUUACUGCUGAGACAACUGUGUUUGUAACCAGACCAGGAAUCCAUGGCUGAAGGAGCUGAUGGAGGAGCCGUUCUGAAGGAGCUGAUGGAGGAGUCGUGCUGAAGGCCCUGCCUUGUGGAGGAGCUGGUGGAGGGCCUGCCUGGUGAAGGACGGCUGUCGUGGGGUAGAUGGAGCUUGACUCUGAAACCAGGACUCUGUCUGAGGAGAGCUGCUGGAGGAGCUGAGACACUGGAGGACUACUAGGAAUCGACCAACAAGGAUUCCUCAACGUGUUUCUGGAGCGGAGGCGAGCUGGUAGGGGAGCCGUGAAUCUGGAGGAUGAUAUCACUCUACCAACAAGGAUUACGUUAGGGCCAGACUCGCGCUGUUUGUUCCAGACCAGGACUCUGGCUGAGGAGAGCUGAUGGAGGGGUCAAGACUCUGGAGGACAACAUCACUCUACCAACCAGGAUCCUCAGACAAAUUACGUUUGUAACCAGACCAGGAAUCUGGAGGACUGAUGGAGAAGCCGUACAUCUGGAAGGCAAAUCCUGAGGACAACCAGGACGCUACCAUCAAGGAUUCCUUACACACCUGAGCUGAACCUCACCUGAUCCUGUUUGGUCAGGGGCAGACACACCUGAGCUGAACCCGCCCUGAUCCUGACAUCCUGCUGGUCCCGUCUCCUCAGUUCAUCUGAGCCUCGUCCACCAGAAGACCUGCUGAGCUCAGCAGUCUGAGGCUGAUGGAUCAAUGACCUCCUGUGGGAGUGAUCUUCUUGCCCCCACAUACCAGGAAUCCAUGGCUGAAGGAGCUGAUGGAGGAGCCGUGCUGAAGGAGCUAAAGGAGUCGUGCUGAAGGCCCUGCCUGGUGGAGGAGCUGGUGGAGGCCCUGCCUGGUGAAGGAAGUCUGUCGUGGGAUAGAUGGAGCUUGACUCUGAAACCAGGACUCUGUCUGAGGAGAGCUGAUGGAGGAGCUGAGACACUGGAGGACGACUAGGAAUCGACCAACAAGGAUUCCUCAACGUGUUUCUGGAGCGGAGGCGAGCUGGUAGGGGAGCCGUGAAUCUGGAGGAUGACCAUCACUCUACCAACAAGGAUUACUUUAGGGCCAGACUCGCGCUGUUGUUCCAGACCAGGACUCUGAUGGAGGAGAGCUGAUGGAGGAGCCAAGACUCUGGAGGAUGACAUCACUCCACCAACCAGGAUCCUCAGACAAAUUACGUUUGUAAGCAGACCAGGAAUCUGGAAGGCAAGUCCUGAGGACCACCAGGACGCUACCGUCAAGGAUCUGGACAUAGUGGACCAGACACACCUGAGCUGAACCUCACCUGAUCCUGUUUGGUCGGGGGUAGACACACCUGAGCUAAACCCGCCCUGAUCCUGCUGGUCCCGUCUCCUCAGUUCAUCUGAGCCUCGUCCUCCAGAAGACCUGCUGAGCUCUGCAGUCUGAGGCUGAUGGAUCAAUGACCUCCAGUGGGAGUGAUGCUCUUGACCCCACAUGUAACUGUGUGCUUCCACACGCCUUUCCCUCACAUCUGUCACUAACUUCACAACUCUCUACUGCUUCCUCUUUUCUUCCUUCCCUGUGGUUCAAACCUUUACACUGAAGGCGCGUCUUCCUGCCCUCAGAGGGUUUAGCGUUAGGGUUGAGAGUCAGGGUUUAGAGUCAGGGACAGAGCUGGUCAGGGAGGACUGCUUUUACAAAAACUUCUUCACUUGCUUUCGGAAUGGUGACAUUUUGAAAAUAUU